ensembl:lncRNA LILRB1-AS1 LILRB1 antisense RNA 1
ACUUAUGUGCGGAUUGCCCCAGUUGAACUCAUGGAAGUAGAGAGUAGAAGGUGGUCCCCGGGAGCUGGGCUGGGGUGGAAUCAGAGAGCUGCAUCGAAGGAUACCGCACUUCAGUUGGACAGGAGGAGUAAGUUUAGGAGAUCUGUUGUACAGUAUGGUGACUACAGUUGCUAACAAUGGAUUGCAUACGCGAAAAUUGCACGUUGCACUCCUGGACGCGGCACAUUUAUUUGCAUUUUGUCUCCCACCACGAGGUGAGCUCAGGAGGCGGGGGCGGCUUUCCUCCCUGCUGUGUCUGCAGCUCCCAUGGGGAGCCCCAUCCACAGUGAGCUCCCUGGGAACACUUGCUGGUUGAAUGAAUGAAGGGGAGCCUGGGGGACCGGGGUGGUUCAUUUAUUCCUCAUCCUCCUGAGGCCUGGGGAGAGCUCUAACAACCAGACGGCCAAACAGAGGAUGAGGAGCAGGAAGGGGACCCGGGAGGAGGCCCACGAGGUCCCAGGACAGCAGGAGAGAGUGAGGUCGCAGCAGGCGGGAGGCAGCGUGCUGGACAAGGA